rnacentral:lncRNA from 1 species
AAAAACCGUUUGAACCUUAAAUUUUACACAAAUAAUGUUUAUCCUAUAUUGUGUUCCGUUGAAUAAUGUUCCAUUGCUUUUCUGUGCAUCAAAGCAGCAAUGUCUUUCGAUGAUUUACUUUUACCUUUAUCAACCGAACCACCCUGCUUUCUUGGCUUUGAAGAAUUUGCACCAGAUAUUUUGCCCGGCGCUUCUCGCAAAGCGAAGGACUUAGCAAUAUGUCCCAAAUGAAGGUCACGCAUGUUAAAAAUACUUCUUUCUGAUGAAAGAUGUGUUGCAUAAGCCCUCACAUAAGAAGUAAAAGCCCUUUUUGCAAUAUUCCUCAUAGGUUCAUUUUCUAAUAUAAAACGCUCCAAUUCCAACUGCCAUUCUGUUGCACGAUCUUGCCAAUCAUUGGUGUUUGUUUUACCUUGCGAAAAACCAGCACUCAACAACCCAGAUGGACCAUUAGGCUGCUCCAAUAUAUUAGCGCUAACUGAAGACUUUAACAAAUUAAUAUAUUCACUUUCCUUCGGGAGUAAAAACAUAAUAGCUGCACCAUUGUGUCCAGCCCUAGCUGUUCUGCCAAUUCUAUGCAAAUAAUCGUCGGUACUAAACGGAGCAUCAUACUGCACAACCAAAUCAACAUUUGGCAGAUCAAGACCACGGGCUGCCACAUCUGUACACAAAAGUAUAUGUGAACCAGAAUCUUCACUUGAAGAAAAAAGAUUCAGCGUCGAAGUCCUGAUUUGUUGAGACAAGGAACCGUGUAAUCGGUAUACAUUUGAUUUGCCAUCUAUUCUCAGAGCUGGAGCAUUUGAAAUGAUAUCACCCUCAGAGUCCGGUUUCUCUUUCACGGCCUCUUCCAUUUCAUCAGCGUUUAUCGCACAUCUAAAAGCUUCAAAGUGAAAAUCAACACUAUCUGAACAAGAAAGAAAAAUUAUUAUUUUCUUAUAUGAUCUAACAUGACUUCGCAAUAGGGCAACCAAGCUUACAAGCCUCAGUUUUGGAGGAACAACAACAUAUCUUUGAAGAAGCUGCUCGGGUGCCUGGCUAUAACCGUCAUUGGUUUCCUCCACAAUAGAUGAUUUUAAGUACAAAGCAUCUUUUAAAGCGGAAUCACUUAAACGCUUUACGGUAUCUUUCAUUGUAGCGGAGCAAAGCAUUGUAACCUUACGAGAAGGAAUACUGAGAUCCUUCUUAAUAAUACUGCUUUGUGAUUCCAAAUAAGAUAAAAUUUUAGUCAAAGUUUCUUCAAACCCCAUAUCCAUCAACCUAUCACCUUCAUCCAAAACGACCCAUCGUACUUGACUAACAUCCAGUGCUUCCGUAUUUUCUAAAUGAUCCGCCAAACGACCAGGCGUUCCAAUUAAAAUAUUAACACCCUUUCGUAUGCGAGCCUUUUCACUUUUUUUCUUCUCACCACCUAUCACAUUACAGGAGACAAUCCAGUGUGAUAACGGAUUAUUGUUGAGCUUGUUAGCAACGUUAUAAAUUUGUUGGCAUAACUCCCGGGUUGGAGCCAUAAUCACAGCAUAUAUACCGCUAGUACGGGUGUGUAAGUUUUUAGGAAGUCGAAUCAAUCGUUGCACAAUUGGUAGUAAAUAAGCCAAAGUUUUACCCGAUCCGGUUUGUGCUUCAAUGAACGCAUCCUUAUCAUCUGUGUUUAGCAAUGCUGGAAGACAACAGCUUUGGAUAGCAGUGGGAGCGCUAAUGUUCAUUUUAUUAUUUAAAUGAUCAGCCAGUUGAGUAUCUAAUUGAACACCAGCAAAGUUGGUAGUUUUAAUAGGUGCGUUGGAUGCCUCCUUUGUAGUCCCAAUAUUACUAAUUUGAUUAUCCUCAAGAUUUUGACCAACGUCCUGUGAAAAAUGCUCAGAAUCAUCACCCGUAAACAAAGAUGUAACAAAAGUAUUAUCGCGCUUGUUGCCUUUUAGCUCAUGAGCUGGUUUUCUAGGAUCAAACACAGGAUUUAUUACUUUUUCCUUUUGUGAAUUUUUAUAAUCAGUGGAAGCACCAUUUGUGCCUGAAUUUCUUUUAACGGUUGAUUUUGAUGAUUCAUUAGAAUUGCGUUUUUGCCUUUUUCUAUCUCUAGCGCGAUCAGUCCAGCGACGACUAGACUUCAAGGCUUCAGGCUUUCUUGAUUGAGCAUUAUCAACAACAAAAUUGAGAAGCAAUGGUUCGUCCGCCAUUUGCUUACAGUUGAUGAAAAUUUGAAAACUUGUGCUUCCACCGUGCUUAGUUUAGUUAAUUGUACU